rnacentral:ncRNA from 20 species
CAGACUGCUGACAAAGUGCCCGCUACGGAGAGAACAGGCAGAUCGUAAAGACGCCGUUAAUACGUCCAUGUAGGCUCGUGCCGCGCCAUCCCUGGCGCGGACGCUUU